rnacentral:rRNA from 1 species
GACGAACGCUGGCGGCGUGCUUAACACAUGCAAGUCGAACGGAAAGGCCCUGCUUUUGUGGGGUGCUCGAGUGGCGAACGGGUGAGUAACACGUGAGUAACCUGCCCUUGACUUUGGGAUAACUUCAGGAAGCUGGGGCUAAUACCGGAUAGGAGCUCCUGCUGCAUGGUGGGGGUUGGAAAGUUUCGGCGGUUGGGGAUGGACUCGCGGCUUAUCAGCUUGUUGGUGGGGUAGUGGCUUACCAAGGCUUUGACGGGUAGCCGGCCUGGGAGGGUGACCGGCCACAUUGGGAUUGAGAUACGGCCCAGACUCCUACGGGAGGCAGCAGUGGGGAAUAUUGCACAAUGGGCGGAAGGCUGAUGCAGCAACGCCGCGUGCGGGAUGACGGCCUUCGGGUUGUAAACCGCUUUCGCCUGUGACGAAGCGUGAGUGACGGUAAUGGGUAAAGAAGCACCGGCUAACUACGUG